rnacentral:rRNA from 1 species
AACGAACGCUGGCGGCAUGCCUAACACAUGCAAGUCGAACGAGACCUUCGGGUCUAGUGGCGCACGGGUGCGUAACGCGUGGGAACCUGCCCUUAGGCUCGGAAUAACUCCCCGAAAGGGGUGCUAAUACCGGAUAAUGUCUUCGGACCAAAGAUUUAUCGCCUUUGGAUGGGCCCGCGUUGGAUUAGCUAGUUGGUAGGGUAAAAGCCUACCAAGGCGACGAUCCAUAGCUGGUCUGAGAGGAGGGUCAGCGACACUGGGACUGAGACACGGCCCAGACUCCUACGGGAGGCAGCAGUGGGGAAUAUUGGACAAUAGGCGAAAGCCUGAUCCAGCAAUGCCGCGUGAGUGAUGAAGGCCUUAGGGUUGUAAAGCUCUUUUACCCGGGAUGAUAAUGACAGUACCGGGAGAAUAAGCGCCGGCUAACUCCGUG